AGGGAAGAUGCAUGGUGAAACUCCAGACAGACACAUUUUAAGGAUGAGACAAGAGACUGGAAAUAAUACAUUUCAGAAGACUUUUAUCUUCUUACGGACACUAUAAAUGAGGUUGUCUGCUGUUUUGGAAGUGGGCUUAUUGCUUCAGGUGUCCAAUAUGCAAUAUGGGCUUCCCUGGUGGCUCAGUGAUAAAGAACCCGCCUGCCAAUGCAGGCGAUGUGGAUUCUAUCAUUGCAUCUGGAAGAUCCCCUGAAGAAGGAAAUGGCAACCCACUCCAGUAUUCUUGCCUGGGACAGAGGAGCCUGGCAGGCUACAAUCCUUGGCAUUCAGAUCAGUAAUCACAAAUCAAGUGACUGCUGGCAUCAUACAACUCAAGGAAACACGUAAAACAAUAUUGAAAUAUGAUGAUAAACAGCAGCUGAAUUUCAGUAUCAAGAUAAAGUCUGAAAUGCUGAAGGUAAUGGAAAACUGGAGAGCUCCUGACUCAGCCCAAGGAACUAGUGGCUACUCAGUUCAAGCUCUUUGCUGCCAUGCAGAAAUGCAGACCAAUGGAGCCAGAACUUUUUCAAGAAAAAUCAAGAAUCAGGAAUGUAUGCAAAAUAAACAU
ensembl:lncRNA